rnacentral:rRNA from 1 species
GACGAACGCUUGCGUCUUUCUUAACACAUGCAAGUCGAACGCUGAAGACCUGGCUUUUGUUGGGUUGGAUGAGUGGCGAACGGGUGAGUAACACGUGAGUAACCUGCCCUCUUCUUUGGGAUAACGCCCGGAAACGGGUGCUAAUACUGGAUAUUCACUGGCCUUCGCAUGGGGGUUGGUGGAAAGGUUUGUUCUGGUGGGGGAUGGGCUCGCGGCCUAUCAGCUUGUUGGUGGGGUGAUGGCCUACCAAGGCUUUGACAGGUAGCCGGCCUGAGAGGGUGACCGGUCACAUUGGGACUGAGAUACGGCCCAGACUCCUACGGGAGGCAGCAGUGGGGAAUAUUGCACAAUGGGCGAAAGCCUGAUGCAGCGACGCCGCGUGAGGGAUGGAGGCCUUCGGGUUGUAAACCUCUUUCGCUCAUGGUCAAGCCGCAACUGUGGGUUGUGGUGAGGGUAGUGGGUAAAGAAGCGCCGGCUAACUACGUG